rnacentral:snRNA from 1 species
GUUCUCACUUUGGCAGCACAUAUACUAAAAUUUGAAUGAUACGGAGAAGAUUUGCAUAGCCCCUGCUCAAGGAUGACAUGCAAAUUUGUAAAGUGUUCCAUAUUUUU